AUGAACAAUAAUUAAAUUAGAAAUAAUCUAUAAAAAAGACUCACGCAACAAGAAAAAUCAAAUCAGCAAUGAUUUGAGAAGUCAUCAUUUGAAGAAAACCAAUAAAACUCAAGAAUUAACACAACAAACACAUAGCCAUGGAGCGACCAAACCGUAUACCUUAAAUAAACCAAUCAAACUAGUUCUAAAAUUGUCCUCCCAGUAUUCCUUCGCAAAAUAUUCAACAACCAACCUUGUAUCUCCUUCACAAGCUCCCCUAAAGUAUCACGCAACGGCAUGGCUCAAGACUUUUAAUAUCCAUAAUAAUAUGUAAAAAUUUAUAAAAUGGUCUAUAUAUAUAUAAGAGAAUCAAGAUAGCACACGAUGGCUGAGGUCAAGUGUGAAAGAAGGAGGACUCACGCCGCCAAAAAAUAAGAUGGGUUAAAGGGGCCGG
rnacentral:lncRNA from 1 species